rnacentral:pre_miRNA from 1 species
CUGACAAAAGUUCUCAGGGAACAUUCAACGCUGUCGGUGAGUUUUGUCAGUGGGAUUAAACCAUCGACUGUUGAGUGUACCCUGCGGCCUUUGC